ACUUCUCAAGGCUAACUCGGCUACAUCUAUGUCCCUAAGUGGCUUUAUCCGAUAACAACGGCACUCUAUGCUUACUUUAUGACUGUGGCUAGCCUUGUGUCUGUGGACUAAACCUCAGAUUGGCUCCUCUAAAUAAAGCAAAAGGCUGCUGUUACUGUAAAGAUCACAUACAAUACACAUUGCUGCAUUUGACAGUAAAGGAGAAACAUAAGAAUAUCUGACAAAUUUGGCUGUGCUGAACAAGACAAUGUCUGACAAGAACGAGAACCAAACCUCAGACCUUCCUGAUGCACACGGAGGGCGUCUAGAGGAAAACCUGGGCACUGGACUAUUAAUUGUGAAGGAAGAGGAUGAGACAGAUGAAAUGCAUUGGUCCCUCCCUGCCGAUGAAGAUAACACUGAAAUAGUAAAAGUUGAGAUAACAGAAGAUCUGUUGGCGAGGCAACAGCUGGGAGCAACGGAUGAGGAAACCAG